rnacentral:rRNA from 1 species
GGGCCGCACGCGCGCUACACUGACGGAGCCAGCGAGUUCUAACCUUGGCCGAGAGGUCUGGGUAAUCUUGUGAAACUCCGUCGUGCUGGGGAUAGAGCAUUGCAAUUAUUGCUCUUCAACGAGGAAUUCCUAGUAAGCGCAAGUCAUCAGCUUGCGUUGAUUACGUCCC